AGUGCAGUGCUUUGAAAGAUAAAGUGACACAACUUUGCUUCGGACAUGGCAUAAUUGGAAUUUCUGGGCACGAAUCAAUUUUACUAAGUGAUAUUUUGUAAACCAGCCGACGUGCACAGCGAAAUUGUGCGAUCGUCACGAACUCUACUCACAAACUGAUUACUCAAAGUGCAUGCAGUCGAUUAACUACUAAAAGUAAAUGCCAAAUAGCUGGUCGGAGUAGCUAGAGCGCGGCGGAGACCACACAUAUAAAAUGCAUUAUUAACAAAGUGGCGAGCUGAGUGUGGCAGUGAGCGUGCCCUGGCCAGUCAAUAAGUUAACUUCGCGUGCUCGAACGCCACCGUUGUUCGCCUUGCCGCCGCCCGCCAUUGAGUGCGCGCCUUUUGACGUUACGCCAUUUCCGUUA